rnacentral:rRNA from 1 species
CGGAAUCGGCAAGACCCUUAGUGCUUCGGGAACCGUGAGACAGGUGCUGCAUGGUCUGUCGUCAGCUCGUGUUGUGAAAUGUUGGGUUAAGUCCCGCAACGAGCGCAACCCUUAUCCUUUNGUUUGCCAGCGGUCCGGCCGGGAACUCAAAGGAGACUGCCAGUGAUAAACUGGAGGAAGGUGGGGAUGACGUCAAGUCAUCAUGGCCCUUACGACCAGGGCUACACACGUGCUACAAUGGCGCAUACAAAGAGAAGCGACCUCGCGAGAGCAAGCGGACCUCAUAAAGUGCGUCGUAUCCGGAUUGGAGUCUGCAACUCGACUCCAUGAAGUCGGAAUCGCUAGUAAUCGUGGAUCAAAUGCCACGGUGAAUACGUUCCCGGG